AUGGAGGUCAUCCGCGGGCCGAUUCUGCCGCGCUGCGCUGCGCCUGCUCUCACCUCCGGCUCUCGGAUCGGCGGCCAGCUGCUGAGGCGCGUGCGCAUGCGGAGGAGGGCUUGCGGUGGUGUCUCGCCGGGCGACUACCACCGCGUGUCGCCCAGGUUCUUCGGUGCCCCGGCCCAGCAGCACAGCACUAGCUUCUGGCCUGUUUGCUGUAGCUACGGCUCGUCAUCUGACGGGAACGGCGCCCCGCCGGCGAAUUUCGACGCCAGCGGCGAGGAGUUCGUCGACUCCAGCGUCAUGGAGGCUGUUGAGCUCAGAUGUGUGUCAGAUGGUUUUGUGAUAAGAAUGCGCGACGGAAGAAACCUUAGAUGUGUCCAGAACAAUCCCCGCGUGCUAAGACUGCGCGAUUCUACGCCUCACCACGCUAUCGUGCUCAAGAUGGAAGAUGGAAGCGAUCUUCUGCUCCCCAUUAUUGUCAUGGAGACACCAAGUAUCAUGCUACUGGCCGCCCUUCGGAACAUUCGAAUUCCAAGGCCAACAAUUUAUAAUGUGGUAAAGGAGAUGACCGAAAUGAUGGGAUAUACGGUACGUUUGGUGCGGAUUACAGAAAUGGUGCAUGAUGCUUACUAUUCUAGAUUGUAUCUUGCAAAGAUUGGAAAUGAAGAAGAGACUAUUAGUUUUGAUCUUAAGCCAUCAGAUGCCAUCAACAUUGCUUUCCGGUGCAAGGUUCCUAUACAAGUCAAUAAGCGGAUUGCAUACAACAACGGUCUGAAAGUUAUACAACCAAAGCCAACUGGGAGUUACGUGAACUCUGACCAAAUCCAGUACACAAGACUGGACAAGCCUGGUGACCAGCCUUGCUUUGAAGCCCAGGAGUUCGAUUUGGUCCGCGGUAUGCUUAUUGCUGCUGUUGAGGAACGCUAUAAAGAUGCUGCUCAAUACAGAGACCGCCUUCUCAUGUUCCGGGCAAACAAAAAGAACACGAUAUAA
rnacentral:rRNA from 1 species